GACAGAGGGUGCAAACGUUGUUCGGAUUUACUGGGCGUAAAGCGCGUGUAGGCGGCUUUGCAAGUCGGAUGUGAAAGCCCACGGCUCAACCGUGGAAGUGCAUCCGAAACUGCAUGGCUGGAGUCUCGGAGAGGAAGGUGGAAUGCUUGGUGUAGAGGUGAAAUUCGUAGAUAUCGUAAGGAAGACCAGUGGCGAAGGCGAGUCUCUGGACAGUUACUGACGCUGAGGCACGAAGGCCAGGGGAGCAAACGGG
rnacentral:rRNA from 1 species